rnacentral:rRNA from 1 species
GACGAACGCUGGCGGCGUGCUUAACACAUGCAAGUCGAACGGAAAGGCCCUGCUUUUGUGGGGUGCUCGAGUGGCGAACGGGUGAGUAACACGUGAGUAACCUGCCCUUGACUUUGGGAUAACUUCAGGAAACUGGGGCUAAUACCGGAUAGGAGCUCCUGCUGCAUGGUGGGGGUUGGAAAGUUUCGGCGGUUGGGGAUGGACUCGCGGCUUAUCAGCUUGUUGGUGGGGUAGUGGCUUACCAAGGCUUUGACGGGUAGCCGGCCUGAGAGGGUGACCGGCGACAUUGGGACUGAGAGACGGCGCAGACUCCUACGGGAGGCAGCAGUGGGGAAUAUUGCACAAUGGGCGGAAGCCUGAUGCAGCAACGCCGCGUGCGGGAUGACGGCCUUCGGGUUGUAAACCGCUUUCGCCUGUGACGAAGCGUGAGUGACGGUAAUGGGUAAAGAGGCACCGGCUAACUACGUG